UGUUCUAUAGGAACUCAAUCAAAGAAUCUGAUGUGUGAGGUAAAAUCUUAUUGCUUAUUUUGAUGUGUGAUGUGAAAUCUUAAUGUUCAGUUGAUCAAACUGAGCCUAUACUUCAUAGGUGAGUAUUCAAACCAUAGGAACUCAUUCAAAGAAUCUGAUACGUGCACUAUAGGAAACUGAGCCUAUGGCUGACAUGUGUUCUUCAAUCAGGGGCCACAAUAUGUGUGCACUACUUUCUGGACCUUUGUUUACACCAACUGUAGUGGAGUGCAGAAUUCUCACCGGAUGGACGAUUCAUUAUUAGUGCUGAUCGGGAUUUUAAAAUUCGUGUUACCCUGUUUCCAAAGAAGACUUUAGAUGGAGCUCAUGAGAUACAGAGCUUUUGCCUUGGUCAUUCUAAGUGAGUGAGUUUUUUAUCUUCGAAUAUGUUGCAGAGCAGAUGUGAUUUCCAUGAAUAGUUUU